rnacentral:rRNA from 1 species
CCGUCAAUUCCUUUGAGUUUCAACCUUGCGGUCGUACUCCCCAGGCGGAGUGCUUAAUGCGUUAGCUGCGGCACUAAGCCCCGGAAAGGGCCUAACACCUAGCACUCAUCGUUUACGGCGUGGACUACCAGGGUAUCUAAUCCUGUUUGCUCCCCACGCUUUCGAGCCUCAGCGUCAGUUACAGACCAGAGAGCCGCUUUCGCCACCGGUGUUCCUCCAUAUAUCUACGCAUUUCACCGCUACACAUGGAAUUCCACUCUCCCCUUCUGCACUCAAGUUAAACAGUUUCCAAAGCAUACUAUGGUUAAGCCACAGCCUUUAACUUCAGACUUAUCUAACCGCCUGCGCUCGCUUUACGCCCAAUAAAUCCGGACAACGCUCGGGACCUACGUAUUACCGCGGCUGCUGGCACGUAGUUAGCCGUCCCUUUCUGGUAAGAUACCGUCACAGUGUGAACUUUCCACUCUCACACUCGUUCUUCUCUUACAACAGAGCUUUACGAUCCGAAAACCUUCUUCACUCACGCGGCGUUGCUCGGUCAGACUUCCGUCCAUUGCCGAAGAUUCCCUACUGCUGCCUCCCGUAGG